UACGGGGGGGGCAAGCGUUGUUCGGAAUUACUGGGCGUAAAGGGCUCGUAGGCGGCCAACUAAGUCGGAUGUGAAAUCCCCAGGCUUAACCUGGGAACUGCAUCCGAUACUGGAUGGCUUGAAUCCGGGAGAGGGAUGCAGAAUUCCAGGUGUAGCGGUGAAAUGCGUAGAUAUCUGGAGGAACACCGGUGGCGAAGGCGGCGUUCUGGACUGCAACUGACACUGAGGAACGAAAGCCAGGGGAGCAAACGGG
rnacentral:rRNA from 1 species